rnacentral:rRNA from 1 species
GUGGAGCAAAUCCCUAAAAGCCAUCCCAGUUCGGAUCGCAGGCUGCAACCCGCCUGCGUGAAGUUGGAAUCGCUAGUAAUCGCGGAUCAGCAUGCCGCGGUGAAUACGUUCCCGGGCCUUGUACACACCGCCCGUCACACCAUGAGAGUCGGGAACACCCGAAGUCCGUAGCCUAACCGCAAGGGGGGCGCGGCCGAAGGUGGGUUCGAUAAUUGGGGUGAAGUCGUAACAAGGUACC